GGAAGAUCAACGUCAAGCUGUGUGUAAUUACGAUCAAAAGGUGUAACUCAUACCUUUGAGGUAGCCAUGACCACCACAGGCUUCUCGGCACUCUUUUAUUGCAUCUCGACAAGUCCAGAUUUUUGGACAUUUUCUAGAUAAACUUGACUGAACUCUGACAUGAAACAUCUGAGAACUAUUGCUGCCGCGAGGUGAGGGAAAAGUCGCCAUCGCUGGAAGAGAUAGUACACGUAUACCGCAUGGAACAUGGAAACAUGACGCUCUGUCCCCAGACUCAGUAUGGUAUUUCCGAACAGGUAAACUCCGAUGGCUAUUUUUAC
rnacentral:lncRNA from 1 species